rnacentral:rRNA from 1 species
AACGUAGGAGACUAGCGUUAUCCGGAUUUACUGGGCGUAAAGCGUGUGCAGGCGGUUCGGCAAGUUGGAUGUGAAAUCUCCCGGCUCAACUGGGAGGGGUCGUUCAAUACUACCGAACUUGAGGGCAUCAGAGGAAGGUGGAAUUCCGGGUGUAGUGGUGAAAUGCGUAGAUAUCCGGAGGAACACCAGUGGCGAAGGCGGCUUCCUGGCCUGUUCUUGACGCUGAGGCGCGAAAGCUAGGGGAGCAAACGGG